UUGCGUUAGGGAUUGUAGUGGAAAUCCUUUUUUGUUUUCUAGAAAGCUUGUUAGUUAACUAACCUUUUGAAAACAAAAAAGAUUGCAACGUAAAGCCCGACCGCAG
rnacentral:sRNA from 1 species